rnacentral:rRNA from 1 species
GGAAUAUUGGGCAAUGGGCGCAAGCCUGACCCAGCAACGCCGCGUGAAGGAAGAAGGCUUUCGGGUUGUAAACUUCUUUUCUCAGGGACGAAGAAAGUGACGGUACCUGAGGAAUAAGCCACGGCCAACUACGUGCCAGCAGCCGCGGUAAUACGUAGGUGGCAAGCGUUAUCCGGAUUUACUGGGUGUAAAGGGCGUGUAGGCGGGAGUGCAAGUCAGAUGUGAAAACCAUGGGCUCAACCUGUGGCCUGCAUUUGAAACUGUACUUCGUGAGUACUGGAGAGGCAGACGGAAUUCCUAGUGUAGCGGUGAAAUGCGUAGAUAUUAGGAGGAACACCAGUGGCGAAGGCGGUCUGCUGGACAGCAACUGACGCUGAGGCGCGAAAGCGUGGGGAGCAAACAG